UCCUCGAUGGUCUAACGGUCAUGAUUUCCGCUUGUCACUCCUGCCAAGGAACAAGCGCGGGAGACCUGGGUUCGACUCCCAGUCGGGGAG
rnacentral:tRNA from 4 species